CCUACGGGGUGCAGCAGUGAGGAAUAUUGGUCAAUGGGCGCGAGCCUGAACCAGCCAAGUAGCGUGAAGGAUGACUGCCCUACGGGUUGUAAACUUCUUUUAUAAAGGAAUAAAGUGAGGCACGUGUGCCUCUUUGUAUGUACUUUAUGAAUAAGGAUCGGCUAACUCCGUGCCAGCAGCCGCGGUAAUACGGAGGGGCCGAGCGUUUUCCGGAUUUAUUUGGUUUAAAGGGGGCGUAAAUGGGUUGUUAAGUCAGUUGGGAAAGUUUGCGGCUCAACCGUAAGAUUGCAAUUGAAACUGGCAGUCUUGAGUACAGUUGAGGUAGGCGGAAUGCGUGGUGUAGCGGUGAAAUGCUUAGAUAUCACGCAGAACUCCGAUUGCGAAGGCAGCUUACUAAACUGCGACUGACAUUGAUGCUCGAAAGUGUGGGUAUCAAACAGGAUUAGAUACCCUUGUAGUC
rnacentral:rRNA from 1 species